GACGAACGCUGGCGGCGUGCCUAAUACAUGCAAGUCGAACGCAGUGGGGACGGGUGAGUAACACGUGGGUAACCUCCCAUCAGAGGGGGAUAACACUUGGAAACAGGUGCUAAACCGGAUAGUGGGGGAUGGACUCGCGUCCUAUCAGCUUGUUGGUGGGGUAGUGGCCUACCAAGGCGACGACGGGUAGCCGGCCUGAGAGGGCGACCGGCCACAUUGGGACGGAGACACGGCCCAGACUCCUACGGGAGGCAGCAGUAGGGAAUCUUCGGCAAUGGACGAAAGUCUGACCGAGCAACGCCGCGUGAGUGAAGAAGGUUUUCGGAUCGUAAAACUCUGUUGUUAGAGAAGCGGUAUCUAACCAGAAAGCCACGGCUAACUACGUGCCAGCCGCCGCGGUAAUAC
rnacentral:rRNA from 1 species